rnacentral:lncRNA from 1 species
GCUGGCAGUUAAAGUGCUAAAGGAUUGUUGCAGUCACAGUGGUAACCCCAAGGACUUCGGUGUAGUCUGGGAAAGAGCGCUGGCGUUGGGCUUGCUGCCUUGCAGAGUGAUUUUCUACCCUCACGUGAUCAUCGCAUUGAUGCAAGGGUGCAGGCUGUCUAGCUGUCCUGAGAUGUACCUGUCGUGCCGUGACGUGCCUGUGGUGAUGUGAAGUGUCAGUGUUACCCGCUUUGGGAUACGAUCUCGAAUGUCUCCUCCAAGAAAGGUUUAAACCGUGUGCAAGAAUCCAAGAGACUAUUCUUGAAGCCCUUAUUGCUGCAGGCAGUGCAGACACAUUGUACUGGUGGCCCCACAGUGUGACGUAUUCUGUAGUUGGAGAUACUGGGGGCUACAAUCUUCGAGACGGAAAGUGCUGAUAAAUGAAGGCGCAUUUCUUGUCUUGCUGCCGCAUAUAUAUUGAACCAAUAUCUUGUAUGAGUUCUCUGUUUUA